UUGUCCCAAUCUACUUUGAGAUAAUGUGGUGGCUUGCCAUCUCCACGAAAUAGCUUCUUCCACCACCCUUUCUCAGCCUUCUCAAGGAUGCAGAAUAUGCUCCUUACCCCAAUAUUAAUUUUGCUUUCCUCCACAUUAACCUUAUCAUGUAGUUCCAACUUCAGUUCAUAAAGAUGAUCUUCUGCUCCAGCACUAGCAGAGAAUGUAAACACACCCUCUGGCUCAAGAUUGACCUUUGCAUUUUUAGCAUCUGGCAAUAGAACUGUAAUAAAAACUUUGUCCACCCUCUGGGCCCACUUCACCUCAGGAUGACGACUCAUUUUCAGUCUCGAAAGGGAAAGUAAAAUGUUUAAAACCCUAGAAAGAAGAGGACACUGCAAGCAGAGUACAACUUGGGGGGAGUGGAUUUAUAUGCUGAGAGAGAAAUAAAGCGUGAGCGUCAUUUCCUUCUAGUACUUUC
rnacentral:misc_RNA from 1 species